rnacentral:sRNA from 1 species
ACUGGGCAUGGUGGCAUAUGCUUGUAAUCCCAGCUACUCAGGAAGUUGAGGCAGGAGGAUUGCCAGUCUGAAGCCAAUCUUAGCAACUUAACAAGAUCCUGUCUCAA